GAGGAAUGGAAGUUGGAAAUUUUAAUAAUAAGAAAUUGGUAGAGCCAUCGAGGAUUGAAAGAUGGGCUGUUGCCAACUUCUCUGCUCGUUGUGGUCCAAACAACAUUGUGCAAAGUCUGAUUCGGUGCGGAGAAAUGAAAGGAAUCCGAAUAGAUCAUCCAUUUGAUGUAUUUAAUGAGAUGGGCCAGAAUAGACGCCUCCCUCCUGUUGCUAGGGUUGAGAAAAUGUUUGAUAUCAUACAGUCCAAACUUUCCGAUGCUCCGCAGUUUCUUCUUUGUCUUCUGCCAGAUAGGAAAAACGCUCUCUUUGGUGAGCUGAAUCUCUUCCAUUGAUUUGUUGACUUUGCAUGUUUUGCUUGGUGUCUUUUCCUUGCAUUUAACAUUGAAUAUUUUAAGGUCCGUGGAAACGAAAAAAUCUUUCCGAGAUUGGCAUAGUGACUCAGUGUAUGGCACCAAUUAAAGUAACUGAUCAGUACCCGACGAAUCUGCUUCUGAAGAUAAAUGCAAAGCUUGGAGGUCUAAAUUCGAUGUUAACCCUUGAGAGAUCAAUACCUAUGGUUUCAAAUGUUCCAACUGUCGUAACAGG